rnacentral:lncRNA from 1 species
AUGCAGAUGUGCCGUGCCAUACCCCUCUGCUGCUCCAGGAGGACCUGCCCAAAUGUAGCCAGGCAAUUUGGUACUGCCAGGAAGACAAGCAGCACAGUGUGUGGUGAGCACUGCAGAAUGCUAACCUGUCCAUGUCAUCCAUGCUCCCUUAUUGUGUCACACAGUGCGUGGACAUCUGUGGGAGCCCUCCGUGCAUACCCAGGACAGGCAUGGGAGAGGAGGCCUCUUAGCCGGGAACCUUGGUCUGCUUUGUCCAGCGUUAGAGAUGUUCCCUGGCUGGUCCUCUUUCUUGUAGGUGUGGAUGGUGCCUCCAGAGCUAUCCCUUGUGUGCGGGUAAGCCAGCCUGCCACCCAUCCCGGCUUUUCUUCAGCUUUCCUUUGUCUGGGUAGAAGCACAUAUCCUGCCCACGGAGGGACGUGACACCACCAUGCGUGUGGUGAGGCAACAUGUGCGUGCUGGUGUCCGUGCUGCGGGCACCCCUGCACCCGGUCUCGGGUGACUGCCAGUCAGAGGCACAUAGCUGUCCCCAUCUAACAGCUGGCACAGCUGAGGAGCUUUGCUUGCCUUAUUAACAGCCCACUUAUCUGGAAUCUGCUCACUGAGCAGAAACUGCUCCAUAAAUCCUCCCGCAAUUUGCAUUCCUCUUUGCUGUCGCUCAUUACCACUGACCUCACUUCUUCUGCUGGAGCUGAUCAGCCUCCCACCGUCCUGCCUGCGAGACGCCUCUCCAUUACCACAACCUAUUAGCAGUGGCAGCAGCAGCGCCUCCGUGAAUGAACGCACGACUGCUGAGUCAGGAAACUUCCCCAGCUCGACUCUUUCUUUGCUCCCUCCCAGCCCCGGGAGGGAGGCAGCGACAGCGAGUGCAGCUCAAUUGCUCUCCUUGCUUGCUUCAAGGCCAGGUUCCGCAUCCCGGGGAGCCCAGCGGGGUCGUUACUGGACUUGCACCCUUGGAGGCACAGGUGGGAAAUGAGGUGCAUCGGUUGGAAGCAUCUGAAACCAGAAGCGCUUGCUAAUCAACCCUGGGGGUUUCCAAAUUAGCAGCUCACCCACUCGGUGCAUGUGCAUGCAGGUUUCCAGCUUAAUACCUGACUCUUCAGUCUGUGGGAAAUGUCUCUUCUGCUUCAUUCCUCAGAGUCGGAGAUGAAGCAAAUACCUACAAACACACCUCUCACCGUAGUGACAAGCUGAGAGGAAGCUGAAGCAGCUCAGCCUGCUCUGCUGUGCUCUCCAGCCCUGGACCUAAGAGGUCACCAGUGCCAGGGGCUUGUGAUUGGAUGAGGAAGGCAGGGAUUCACGUUCAAGAUCCCCUUCCCGACUGUGUGCCCGUGCUGCAGGAUUUGUCAGGGUUCAUGUGGCCUCCGCUCUCCUUGCAAGGAUGUGGCAGCACCAGCUGAGUGCCAGGCUCCCAGGCAGGAGG